rnacentral:tRNA from 1 species
UCCCUGGUGGUCCAGUGGUUAAGACUUUGCACUUCAGAUGCAAGGGGUGCAGAUUCAGUCCCUGGUUGGGGAA